CCCUUAGAUGUUCUGGGCCGCACGCGCGCUACACUGACGAUGUCAACGAGUCUCUCCUUGGCCGAAAGGUCUGGGUAAUCUCCAAAUUUCGUCGUGAUGGGGAUAGAUUAUUGCAAUUAUUAAUCUUCAACGAGGAAUGCCUAGUAAGCGCAAGUCAUCAGCUUGCGUUGAUUACGUCCCUGCCCUUUGUACACACCGCCCGUCGCUCCUACCGAUUGAAUGGUCCGGUGAAGCGUUCGGACCGUGGCCUUUGGACGGUUCGCCGUCUGUUGGCUGCGGGAAGUUCGUUAAACCUUAUCAUUUAGAGGAAGGAGAAGUCGUAACA
rnacentral:rRNA from 1 species